CUUAGUGGCGGACGGGUGAGUAACGCGUGGGUAACCUGCCUUAUACAGGGGGAUAACAGUCAGAAAUGGCUGCUAAUACCGCAUAAGCGCACAGGACCGCAUGGUGUAGUGUGAAAAACUCCGGUGGUAUGAGAUGGACCCGCGUCUGAUUAGGUAGUUGGUGGGGUAAAGGCCCACCAAGUCGACGAUCAGUAGCCGGACUGAGAGGUUGAACGGCCACAUUGGGACUGAGACACGGCCCAGACUCCUACGGGAGGCAGCAUG
rnacentral:rRNA from 1 species